AUUGAACGCUGGCGGCGUGCCUAACACAUGCAAGUCGAGCGGUAACAGGUGUAGCAAUACAUGCUGACGAGCGGCGAACGGGUGAGUAAUGCUUUGGAACCUUCCCAGUAGUGGGGAAUAACCAGUCGAAAGAUUGGCUAAUACCGCAUACGUCUGUAAAGGGAAAGCGGGGGCUCGUAAGACCUCGCGCUAUUGGAUGAGCCAAAGUCGGAUUAGCUAGUUGGUGGGGUAAUGGCCUACCAAGGCGACAAUCCGUAGCUGGUCUGAGAGGACGACCAGCCACACCGGAACUGAGACACGGUCCGGACUCCUACGGGAGGCAGCAGUGGGGAAUAUUGGACAAUGGGGGAAACCCUGAUCCAGCGACGCCGCGUGUGAAGAAGGCCUGCGGGUUGUAAAGCACUUUUAGUGGGGACAAAAAGCUACGGAUUAAUACUCUGUGGUCUUGAUUUAACCUACAGAAAAAGCACCGGCUAACUCUGUGCCAGCAGCCGCGGUAAUACAGAGGGUGCGAGCGUUAAUCGGAAUUACUGGGCGUAAAGCGCGCGUAGACGGUUUUGUAAGUCAGAUGUGAAAUCCCUGGGCUCAACCUGGGAGCUGCAUUUGAUACUGCA
rnacentral:rRNA from 1 species